UACGUAGGGGGGCAAGCGUUGUCCGGAAUCAUUGGGCGUAAAGCGCGCGUAGGCGGCCCGGUAAGUCCGCUGUAAAAGUCGGGGGCUCAACCCUCGGAUGCCGGUGGAUACUGUCGGGCUUGAGUACGGAAGAGGCGAGUGGAAUUCCUGGUGUAGCGGUGAAAUGCGCAGAUAUCAGGAGGAACACCAAUUGCGAAGGCAGCUCGCUGGGACGUUACUGACGCUGAGACGCGAAAGCGUGGGGAGCAAACAGG
rnacentral:rRNA from 1 species